rnacentral:rRNA from 1 species
CGGGUGAGUAACACGUGGAUAACCUACCUAUAAGACUGGGAUAACUUCGGGAAACCGGAGCUAAUACCGGAUAAUAUAUUGAACCGCAUGGUUCAAUAGUGAAAGACGGUUUUGCUGUCACUUAUAGAUGGAUCCGCACCGCAUUAGCUAGUUGGUAAGGUAACGGCUUACCAAGGCAACGAUGCGUAGCCGACCUGAGAGGGUGAUCGGCCACACUGGAACUGAGACACGGUCCAG